GAAGGUAGGCAGUGCUUGCAAAGGCCUGAGCACUGCAAGAAUGGACUAAUACGCUAUGUGAAGACAAAGGGGAUGUCUGCAAGCCAGGACGAGUGCGUCUACCAGAAACUGAGUUCUGCUGGACUUUGAUCUAGGACAUCCAGCCUCCAGAAUGGAAUGUGCCAUAUGUGGAGACCUGCAUGGAAAGGAACUGAGGAUGCUCUCUCACUAAAAGCUAGAAGGAACUGAGGCCCUCAGUCAACAGUCUACAAGACACUGAAUCUUGCCAGCAGCCAAGCAGUGAGCUUGAAAGCAGAUCUAUCAUCAGCUGAACCUUCAGAUGAGACCGCAGCCUAAGCAGAUACCUUGGUUGCAGCCAUGUGAGACAACCUGAAACAGAGGGCACAGCUAAGCCUCAGCCAGGUUCAUGACCCUCUGAGGAAACUGUGAGAAAGCAAAUGUCAUUUUAAGCUAUUUAAUUUUGGAGGUAGUUUAUUACACAACAAUAAAUAACUAUUAUAAUUAUCUUGAGGAUUUAUUUCCUGGGGAGAAUACAUGGAAUUGCAUAUAUAGGUCCUCAUAUGCAGAAUACUGGUACCCUAGAGAUGUUCACCCCAGAGAUGUUUUAGGAACCUGUGAAUAUGUUACAUUAAAUGGCAAAGUUUUCCUGGAUGGUUUAAGUUUAAGAUGGAAAAGUUUUACUGGAUUAUCCAGUGGGUCCAAUCUAGUAACAUGAGUCCUUAAAAAUGGAGAAUAUUUUUUGGCCAUGAUCAGAGAGACAUGUGAUGAUGGAAAAAGUGUCAGAGAUGCAAUGUGAGGGGACUAAAACUGCUGUUGCUGACUUUAAAGAUGGAGAGAGGGGAACCCGAGUCAAGGAAUGCAAAUGGCCUCUGGAAGCUGGAAAAAGCAAGAAAUGGAUUCUCCUUUAGAGCCUGUGGAAUAAAAUGCAGUCAUGCUGACACCUUGAUUUUACCUCAGUGAGACCAAUACUGGAGUAUGACCUUCGGAGCUGAAUAAAAUUAUACGUACACAUCUUAAUUUCUUGGGAUUUGAUUACUUCUUCUGCUUUGAAAUUAGACCAAGUUUAGCCUGCCUUUGCUAUUUUGGCGUAUCUCCAAUUCUUCAUGAUUUUCUCAUCGCAAAGGCCACAUAAGGACAGUGAGAAGGCAGCCACCUGCAAGCCAGGAAGAAAGGUCUCACCAGAUACCAACCCUGCCAGCAUGUUGAUCUUGGACUUCCAGCCUCCAAAACUGGCCUUCUGCUCACAUGGGCUUCCGUGCACCUGCUUCAGGAGACAGCAACACUUGCGCCCGCACCGCGGCAGGCUCCCAUCACCUGGUGGAUAUGCCGCGCCGAGUCUCAUCACACCUUAGUGAAGGAACACAUGGACCCAUAUGUUAGCGGAUGUAUUUACAUCGUUUUAUACAGAAAGGGGAAGUAUGUUUCACAAUAAAUGUUUGCAUACUUUGGA
rnacentral:lncRNA from 10 species